GUUUUGCUCUUGUCACCUAGGCUGGAGUGCAGUGGCACGAUCUCAGCUCACUGCAACCUCUGCCUCUCAGGUUCAAGUGAUUUUCCUGCCUCAGCCUCCUGAGUAGCUGGGACUAUAGACACCUGCCACCAUGCCUGGCUAAUUUUAUAUUUUUAGUAGAGACGGGUUCACCAUGUUGGCCAGGCUGCUCUCGAAUUCCUGACCUCAGGUGAUCUGCCUGCUUUGGCCUCCCAAAGUGCUGGGAUUACAGGCGUAAGCCAUCGCGCACAGCCCAAAUUUAUCGAUUUUAUUUGUGUUAAGAGAGCUGCGUGCCUAGGAAAGUAGGUUUGUAUCUAGCAAUCUGUGUACCAGGAUGACUUAGCCAAUUGGAUUCUUUGCCCCUAGCCACAAGAGAAAAAAAGAACAGAGGAAAAUGUCUUGUUUGGAAGUGGCUGCUUGUUUUUGACUGGGCAAAUUUUAGCCCAGGUGCUAGUAAUUUGUGGCUAUGUUUAAAGAGAGGCAGGGGGAGGGAAGGGGAAGGAGGAGGAGGCUUCUCGGCUCCUCUGGAAUUCCGUGGUGUCAUUAUCGUGUGGGCACUCUGGGCAUCCGGCAUGAUCUGCAGUGACGAGCCGUGCAGUACCAGGAAUGGCUCUGAGCUACUGGAGGGAGGGAUGGUGGUCACCGCAUGCUGAAACCACAUCCUGCCCUUCAGCUUUGGCUCAUGCUAGUUCUGGAGGCAACGAAUAGGAGACAAAUCUAGUUGCAAGCAAUAUCGUAUAGCAAAUCUCAGAGCGGAUAUCAACCAAAGUUUGAAGUGGUGUGUGCAAGACGAAUGGGCAGAAGAGAGAUUUCCCUCUUAUCUCACUGCUCUCGUAUCAAGAGCAGGCUUCUUACGUCUUCUUCCCUACAGUUUAUUUUAGCAUAGCAUUCAUAGUUUUAAAAAUCCAUCAGUUCACGUUACUUCUUUGCUUAAAAUCCUCAAAUGGCUUCUCCUUGCGCUUAGGAAAAAACUCAAGCUCCUUACCAUGACUGGCAAGGUUCUCCCUGAUCUGGUUUCUACCCCUUUUCCAGCCUAGUUUUGCACAAAUUCACUCUGCUCCGGCUACACAGGUUAUUCGUCUCUCGAAUAGGCCAAGCUUAUUCUCACCUCUGGGCCUUUGCCUCUGCCACAUCUUUACAUGCUCGGCUCCAUCCCAUCCCUCAGGUCUCAGUUCAAACGUGGCCUGCCCCGGGCUCAGAGGGCCCUUCCCUGGCCAUCUUAUGCAAAAACCUCCCUGUUGCCAUCUUCACCUUACUAUGGUUUCAUUGUUCUUCAUUGUUGCAUUUAUGCAUAUCUGAAUUGGUCUUGUUCACUUACUUGCUGAUAGGCUAAUUAGGAUGGAACCCUCAAGACAGCAAGUGUUGUCCUGUUUCCCACUCUACCCCCAGCUUGGCACAUGGUAAGCACUCAACAAAUAGUGUUUUUUAAAACAUACAUUUGUCUUUUUGAAUCAAAGAGUGUUGUAGCUGGAAGGGACUCAGGAAACAGUUUACCCGAAUUUCCUCCUGCUAUAGAUGAGGUGGCUCAUGAUGGCCAAAUGACACAUCAAGGUCAAUGGUGGACCAUCUGGCUGGUCAGGCUGAUAUCUAUAUGGAGACUAGUUCCAGACUGAUGCCCCAGGAGUGGCAUGGGCCUAGGAGUAAAUUAUUUAUAAUGCAAACAUAUCUCAAACACUUUCCAGAAGGGCAAGCAGCCUGAGAUCUGGAGGGACAGUAAACACUUGGGCUUUCAGAAGCAUCAACAAAAAUAGCAGCUUCCUCUACCUGUUAGUUUAAAAGGACAAAACCACAAGGCUGCUGCCUAAGCAUGCUCUAUCAUUCUCAUACAGAAUUGUUAAGAAUGAGAACACAAUUUAUCCCCAAAUUCCUUAUCUCGUAUAACAGUGGGGUGUUACAGUAUGAAGUAUGUGUCUGACUGGAAAAUCUGCCAGAGUUAUCAAAGGCAGAAACGAGUCCCAGCCUCAAGCAGCCUUGCCAUGCCUCACAUGCUCAAUACCCAAGUUGGGUGCCCAUCUAUAGGAAGGUUGCGUCUUCUAUAAUAAACCUUUAGUUAGACUAGGCAGUGUCUCUCUCUGCUCUGAGUGCUGGGUACUUCCAAGACCCUUAUUUACUCAAUGAAUAACACAGAUAAAAAACCUGGAAAGUUUUGUUCUGACUUUGAGCUUGAACACUGACAGGUUGAAAGAGAAAAAAAUUUCAGCGACAUUAAUAAUCUGCAGGCAUGUCAAGAUUGGAUAAAUAUUAUUUGCAAGUGAAACAGCUCUCUUUUAACAGAGGGAGUUAAAAUAAUAAGGAGAGCCAAGUUUACAUGCAUUAAUUGUAUUCUCAGCAGAGAGAGACUUGCCUCUUCAUCUUUUACCCAUCCUGGUUACUUUUUUUUUUUUUUUUUUUUUUGAGAUGGAGUCUCACUCUGCUGCCCAGGCUGGAGUGCAGUAGUGUGAGCUGGCUCACUGCAACCUCUGCCUUUUGGGUUCAAAUGAUUCUCCUGCCUCAGCCUUCUGAGUAGCUGGGACUACAAGUGCCUGCCACCAUGUCCGGCUGAUUUUUGUAUUUUUAAGAGAGACGGUGUUUCACCAUGUUGGCUAGGCUGGUCUCAAACUCCUCACCUCAAGUAAUCCACCUGCCUCGGCCUCCCAAAGUAUUGGGAUUACAGGUGUGAGCCCCCACACCUGGCCCUGGUUACUUUUGAGUUGACAAUGGCAGUUUAUUCCCCAUUACAUCCAUCUAACAGCGAUGUCUGGCUUGGCGAUCUUCCUUAAACUGAGCUCCCAUCUAUUCCAGCAACUGUCACCUCUGCCCUAUGGUUCUAUAGGCUGAAUGUCACAUCGCCAUUGGCCCCUGACCCACAAUCAUUCCCCUUCACUUUUGUUCCUUCCCAUUUCUAGGUUCUGCUUACAUUGCUUGUCCCUGCAAAGCCUUCCACUUGCCUUUCCAUCUGGCCAAAUCCUGGCCGUCCCUCAAGGAAGGAGAAUUUCAGGUUCUACCUCUUUCAAGAAGCCAUCUCCAAGGCUCCUAGACUGUACUAAUUCAACUUGCCAUUUGAAUAGUUAUACUUUGUCCCCCAGAGUAGCCCAGAAGUACCUGACAAGCAGGGGCUAGGUCUGACACGAUUCUCAAGUGGCUAUGGCAACACUAGGUGCUUGGGCCCAAAAUAGAAAUACCCGUUCAGGGGCUCAAAAGCAUUCAUUUAAAGCAAUUUGCCGCAUGUGGAGACCUAGAAGGAGGAUGCCAUCAAUUACCGCUCCUUGCCAUCAGAGACCUCUUCCUGUAGUGGACUCAUGAGGCCUUCAGAUUCUGGGUCCCAGAUACUCAGAGCACAGUAUAAAUACUCUUGGGAGCAUCCCUCCUUGGAUGAGAAAAGGUCUGUGGGACUGGCACUGAAAACCCAGCUCACCUGCCCAAUUUGGCACAUCCUAAGUUAUGAUAAGCCCCCAACAGAGCCUAGAUGCUUAGGUAGAAUUUUAAUAGAAAACAUUGACCAGGUGCGGUGGCUCAUGCCUGUAAUCUCAGCACUUUCGGAGGCCAAGACAGGUGGAUUACAAGGUCAAGAGAUAGAGACCAUCCUGGCCAAUAUGGUGAAACCCUGUCUCUACUAAAAAUACAUAAAUUAGCCGGGCAUGGUGGCGGGCACCUGUAAUCCCAGCUACUCAGGAGGCUGAGGCAGGAGAAUCGCUUGAACCCAGGAGGCAGAGGUUGCAGUGAGCCAAGAUCGCGGCACUGCACUCCAGCCUGGUGACAGGGUGA
rnacentral:lncRNA from 1 species